rnacentral:rRNA from 1 species
AACGCUGGCGGCGUGCUUAACACAUGCAAGUCGAACGAGAAGAGAUGAGAAGCUUGCUUCUUAUUAAUUCGAGUGGACAAACGGGUGAGUAACGCGUAAGCAACCUGCCCUUCAGAUGGGGACAACAACUGGAAACGGCUGCUAAUACCGAAUACGUUCUUUUUGUCGCAUGGCAGAGAGAAGAAAGGGAGGCUCUUCGGAGCUUUCGCUGAAGGAGGGGCUUGCGUCUGAUUAGCUAGUUGGAGGGGUAACGGCCCACCAAGGCGACGAUCAGUAGCCGGUCUGAGAGGAUGAACGGCCACAUUGGGACUGAGACACGGCCCAGACUCCUACGGGAGGCAGCAGUGGGGAAUCUUCCGCAAUGGACGAAAGUCUGACGGAGCAACGCCGCGUGAACGAUGACGGCCUUCGGGUUGUAAAGUUCUGUUAUACGGGACGAAUGGCGUAGCGGUCAAUACCCGUUACGAGUGACGGUACCGUAAGAGAAAGCCACGGCUAACUACGUG